UUUACUGAGCCUGCAAACCAACCUCUGCAUUUAAAGCAUGCUAACAUGGGGUGCAGGGAGAUGGCAGGAGGGGAUCUUGUCAACACAUCUGUAGUAUGCCCAAGGGGAGAACAGCAGUAAGAUGGACCCAGAGGGUAACCUCCUUCCAGAACAAGAUGUAUUGUACUGCAAUGGCCAAGGCCUCUUCCUAUUCCUACCAGGAUCAGGAGGUGGCAAAAAAUAAGUUACCAGUAGAUGCACCUAAUCAUGGCAAGGCUAGGAGAAACCCUUCAGGAGCUGUGAAGAAGAGGAGGUCUCCUCUGACACUGGGAUGAACGGGCAGAAAAUGACUAACCCCCUCCGUUGACUUAAGUUGAAUUGCGCCACAACACACGCAAGAUGUCCCACUAGCUGGAGAAGAAGUAUGUUCCAAAGGAGAAGGUCAGAACUGAUUGGAGAUGCCAGGGAAAGAUUUCUCUCCUUACCUGGCAUUGGUAUGAAUUGAUCCUCUUUAAUACAAAGGUCUGUGUCCUGGCCACCAGUAAAACAUAGACAUUUGUGGGACCUGAAGGUGUCCAAACUAAAGGUUAAAACCAUGUGUGCAAUCCAGUCAGUGCUAUAUUAACAGGUCCAGCAUUUCCCAGCACUAGAGUUUUAUUGCAACCCUCCCCCAUCUUACAAUUACAAUCCUCCUCCUCUCUGGUUUAGGGGAUGGGUUUUCUUUUGCCAACUAGAUAAAAAGCUCUUUGGGACCAUGAUUUUUUAGUGUGUUUUGUGCUCACAAGGAGGGUGGGAUCUGCAAAAGAUCCCAAGCUCUUGUGUCUUUUAAACAGUGAUGAUGAUAAUAUAAAUGUCAGAGGCAUUCCCAAAGUUCCUUUUUUAACCAUCUGGCUGUAACGGGAAGGCUCAGAGGUGGUCUCAGAGAGUAGAUCCCUGGAAGGAGAAAAAGCUGAGAUGCCAACUUGAGGGUCCAAGCUGCAUUUUAUUUUAUCAUUACAGUUUCCAGUUAUAUUCAGAAAUGAGAGGAACUGGUUUUUCAGUCAACCUGCAGCUCAGAUCACCUCAGAACAGGAGGUUUUGAUGCAGCAGGUGAAGUGCACAAGGCUGCUAGCUGGAAACAAAUAUUCCUGGGCAGUAUUGCAAUGAUGCAAUUAAAGGGAACACAACAUCCAUGACGCAGGGCAGGAUUCUUCAGAAAACAAAUUGAAAGAGCUGAGUUGGUUGUUUGGCCUUUUCUCAAGGCCCAAGAUGAUUUUUUUUCAACAGAAUUUAUCUUUAGUAUGAAUAUGGAAGACUUCUGUUUAAGAGAGUCAUAUCCAGCACAGCAAAAUCCUUGGCCAAAGGACUGCUUCCCCUGUGACUGCCUGGGUUGCACUCGAGUGCCCAGCACCUGGAUGGACACAGCAACCAAGUGUAGGA